CAAUAGCGUAUAUUAAAGUUGUUGCAGUUAAAAAGCUCGUAGUUGGACCUUGGACCUGGACAGGCGGUCCGCCUCACGGCGUGUACUGUCUUGCUGGGUCUUUCCUCUUGGUGAUCUGUUGUUUCGGCAGCAGGGAACCAGGACUUUUACUUUGAAAAAAUUAGAGUGUUCAAAGCAGGCUGGACGCCGGAAUAUAUUAGCAUGGAAUAAUAAAAUAGGACGUGCGGUUCUAUUUUGUUGGUUUUUGGAAUCGCCGUAAUGAUUAAUAGGGACAGUCGGGGGCAUUAGUACUCACAUGCUAGAGGUGAAAUUCUUGGAUUUUGUGAAGACUAACUUCUGCGAAAGCAUUUGCCAAGGAUGUUUUCAUUAA
rnacentral:rRNA from 1 species